rnacentral:rRNA from 1 species
CUCAUUGGAGAGUUUGAUCCUGGCUCAGGACGAACGCUGGCGGCGUGCUUAACACAUGCAAGUCAAGGGGGCCCGCAAGGGCAACCGGCGAACGGGUGCGUAACACGUGAGCGACUUUCCGUUUCCUGGGGGAUAGCCGGCCCAACGGCCGGGUAAUACCGCAUACGCUUCUUGAGCGGCAUCGCUCGAGAAGGAAACUUCCGGGGGGGAACGAGGGGCUCGCGGCCUAUCAGCUAGUUGGCGGGGUAAUGGCCCACCAAGGCGACGACGGGUAGCUGGUCUGAGAGGAUGGCCAGCCA